CCUACGGGAGGCAGCAGUAGGGAAUCUUCCACAAUGGGCGAAAGCCUGAUGGAGCAACGCCGCGUGGGUGAAGAAGGUCUUCGGAUCGUAAAACUCUGUUGUUAGAGAAGAAAGAGCGCGAGAGUAACUGUUCACGUUUCGACGGUAUCUAACCAGAAAGCCACGGCUAACUACGUGCCAGCAGCCGCGGUAAUACGUAGGUGGCAAGCGUUAUCCGGAUUUAUUGGGCGUAAAGGGAACGCAGGCGGUUUUUUAAGUCUGAUGUGAAAGCCUUCGGCUUAACCGGAGUAGUGCAUUGGAAACUGGGAGACUUGAGUGCAGAAGAGGAGAGUGGAACUCCAUGUGUAGCGGUGAAAUGCGUAGAUAUAUGGAAGAACACCAGUGGCGAAAGCGGCUCUCUGGUCUGUAACUGACGCUGAGGUUCGAAAGCGUGGGUAGCAAACAGGAUUAGAUACCCGUGUAGUC
rnacentral:rRNA from 1 species